UUCUGGAAGGAUAAUAGACUCUAGGCUUCCAGCUGUCGACAAGAGAAAAGAAUGGGGGCGCCAGGCCCCUGCUGGGAGCUGGGAGCGUGACCCCAGCCCUUCAGGCUAUUCCCUCCACUGGCCCCUCAGUGCCAGGGGCUGCGGCAGGUACCCAGUGCCCAGACACCAGGGGGGCCACCUCUCCCCUGGCAUCCAGUCCUAGGCACGUGUGAGGGGCCAGAUCAGCAGAGCCACCCCCUGCCCAAGGCCACAAAGGGAAGGUGAGUCACCUGUCCCCAUGCCAAGACUGUCCCUGGCCAGCACGACUCCAGUCUCUGCCCAGGUCCGGCCUGUCUAGCACUGGGACAGGGCAAGGCUGGGGUCCUGCGCUCUGGUUCCAGCCGACAAACCAGGGCCCCAGGCCAGACGAUCGGGUAGCAGCCAGUUAGCUGCCCCACACACUGCCCCAGGACUGUCACUGUGGCAACCAGAGGCCACAAUGACUGUCCAUCAUAUAACACCAAAACAUUGCCACUGGUAUGGCUGCGACCCACAGUGCGUGUUGCCAUCCCCGCCGAUCCCGGAUGAGAACCGGGCCAGGGCUCUGCAGCCCUGACUUCCUCUCUGGCCUGCCAACCCCGGGGUCCUGAGGGGUGGCGCCGCUCCCGCCAUCGUUCCCGGGGACACAAGUGACCAAACGGGGCUCUUUGGCCGUGCUCCUGGCUGUGAGGUCUGGGCGAGAGGCAGAGGUGCGGCGUCCUCGGGGAGGGCGGCAGGCCUGCCUCUGUCGGAGCGGAGACGUACGUGAGGACGGCGGCACCUCAAGCCCCGCGCGCAGAUCCGCCCGGCGGGGAGCGCCGGCCACCCCGGCUUUUCUGCAGACCCACGGACGGACGAGGCCACAGGAGGGGACGGUGUCCGUCCCCCGCAGGGCGACCUACCAAAGUGGGACCAAUUCCAGUGGCCCCACGUGGUGGCUAAUUAGUCUGAAAUAUAAGCAGGCGGGGAGCACCGUCCCCCAACCAGCUUGCCAGUAGCUUCCGACAGAUCUUGGUGCUCACGGACCUCCCGCACUCUCUGGAGGGAGACACAGACUCCACGUACGGGGCCACGGUCCCCACGCUGCACCCCUGCGGCCCCACCGAGGCUGGGGAAGACCCGCUGGCCCUGGCUCCUAGCCCUGCUGCUCCGGGCCCCAGUGCCUGCUGCUCUCCCCUCCGGAAAGCAGCACGGGGGCACCUCCCCGCCCGCUGACGCGAAGGGCGGCGUGGAAUGCAGCCUGCCGCCCCGCCAGGCCGCCUGCUCCCACGCCCUCACACUGCGGCGACACCCCCACGGAAGCCGGUUUCCCCAGGGCAAGGAUGUCACCUGGGCGGUGGGUUCAGAGGCUGCUGACUCCUCCAGUGGCUUGUAGUGGACUAGCGGAGGGUGGACGUGUGUCCCCCCCGCACCCGGACCUGGGCGUGGCGGCGGGGUCGGGGCCAGGCCCAAAGCCCGGAGGAGGACUCUGCUCCCACCCGCGCUGUGCCAGUCCUUCGCAGACCUCAGAGCUGAACCGCGUGCCUUACGACGCUUCUCCCAGAUGCUCCGCUGGCAAGCAAAGGGCCUGGGACAGAGGAGGGCCAGCCAAGGCGGGGGCCCAGGUCCGGGGUCCUGCCCACAGCUGCUGCUCCUCACUGCCACAGCCCAACGACCGUGCAGCCUCUUUCCUACACCAGCUGGGGAAGCUACUGAAAUGGCCUGUUUUUAAAGACCCCGUUUAUUGUACAAGAAUUACAGCUGCGCGUAAAGUUUCAAACACGGCCCAGUGAUCCGGGGGCACAAGAGCCUUCAGAAAGGCUUUUCCACAGGGUUUGCAGCUUACAGGAUUGAAGCACGUCCCCAAACCAGGAACACGGGUGGAGCCCUAGGUCACUGCUCACAGGUGCGCGCUGCUGUGCACACUGCACUCAAGAGGCAGGACGGGCCCCUCAGCACAAAACUGUCCCUCCCCAGACAACCGAUAAGGAAGCCACGGACUUCUGAGAGGCUGCCAAACUCUUUGAUUUCCCACAGAACGUGGCGGAUUCCCAAUAAACGCAAGAUGCCGUGAUUGA